ACGCUGAAGAGAGGAGCUUGCUCUUCUUGGAUGAGUUGCGAACGGGUGAGUAACGCGUAGGUAACCUGCCUUGUAGCGGGGGAUAACUAUUGGAAACGAUAGCUAAUACCGCAUAACAAUGGAUGACACAUGUCAUUUAUUUGAAAGGGGCAAUUGCUCCACUACAAGAUGGACCUGCGUUGUAUUAGCUAGUAGGUGAGGUAAUGGCUCACCUAGGCGACGAUACAUAGCCGACCUGAGAGGGUGAUCGGCCACACUGGGACUGAGACACGGCCCAGACUCCUACGGGAGGCAGCAGUAGGGAAUCUUCGGCAAUGGGGGCAACCCUGACCGAGCAACGCCGCGUGAGUGAAGAAGGUUUUCGGAUCGUAAAGCUCUGUUGUAAGUCAAGAACGGGUGUGAGAGUGGAAAGUUCACACUGUGACGGUAGCUUACCAGAAAGGGACGGCUAACUACGUGCCAGCAGCCGCGGUAAUACGUAGGUCCCGAGCGUUGUCCGGAUUUAUUGGGCGUAAAGCGAGCGCAGGCGGUUUGAUAAGUCUGAAGUUAAAGGCUGUGGCUCAACCAUAGUUCGCUUUGGAAACUGUCAAACUUGAGUGCAGAAGGGGAGAGUGGAAUUCCAUGUGUAGCGGUGAAAUGCGUAGAUAUAUGGAGGAACACCGGUGGCGAAAGCGGCUCUCUGGUCUGUAACUGACGC
rnacentral:rRNA from 1 species